ACUUGCACUUAAUUCUAAUUAUAAAUUUGGCUAUGAGCUUUUAAGUUAUAUUUCUCAUAAUUUAAUUGCACUCAUAUAAAUUAAAUUAUGAGAAAAUAGUUUAGCUAAAAUAAUUAGAAGUAAUUAGAAUUAAGUGCAAGU
rnacentral:rRNA from 1 species